GUAGUCCAUGCCGUAAACGAUGGAGACUAGAUGUCGGGAGUUCUUACCCUCUCGGUGUCGCAGCUAACGCAUUAAGUCUCCCGCCUGGGAAGUACGGUCGCAAGAUUAAAACUCAAAGAAAUUGACGGGGGCCCGCACAAGCGGUGGAGUAUGUGGUUUAAUUCGAUGCAACGCGAAGAACCUUACCUGGGCUUGACAUCCGGUGCUACCUGGAGAAAUUCAGGGUUCCCUUCGGGGACGCCGAGACAGGUGCUGCAUGGCUGUCGUCAGCUCGUGUCGUGAGAUGUUGGGUUAAGUCCCGCAACGAGCGCAACCCUUGCCAUUAGUUGCCAGCAUUAAGUUGGGCACUCUAAUGGGACCGCUUGCCGAUAAGGCAGA
rnacentral:rRNA from 1 species